AUUGAACGCUGGCGGCAGGCCUAACACAUGCAAGUCGAACGAGUGGCGUACGGGUGAGUAAUGUCUGGGAAACUGCCUGAUGGAGGGGGAUACCUACUGGAAACGGUAGCUAAUACCGCAUACCAUCGGAUGUGCCCCUAUGGGAUUAGCUAGUAGGUGGGGUAACGGCUCACCUAGGCGACGAUCCCUAGCUGGUCUGAGAGGAUGACCAGCCACACGGGAACUGAGACACGGGCCAGAAGCCUACGUGAGGCAGCAGUGGGGAAUAUUGCACAAUGGGCGCAAGCCUGAUGCAGCCAUGCGGCGUGUAUGAAGAAGGCCUUCGGGUUGUAAAGUACGUUCAGCGGGGAGGCGUUACCCGCAGAAGAAGCACCGGCUAACUCCGUGCCAGCAGCCGCGGUAAUUC
rnacentral:rRNA from 1 species